UGCGUUGGGGUCCGGGGUCGGGGUUCGAUGCCGCUGCAGCUGUCCGCUUAUUUUUCAGCUUCGCGGAAAACCGGGGGGGGGGGAGGCUAUGGCGCGGCGUGGCGCUUUUCCCGCGGCUGCGGCUGUCGACCGGGCGUCGAGUGAGGGAUUAAUGGGGCUGUUGCACACUUUUUUUUUAAUUCAUUUUCGUAAAGUACAUGAAAAUAAGGAGACCCGUCUUUUUUCUUUUUUCAUUUAAUAAACUUUUAGGUAAGAAAACGACUUCCAAAGUUGCUGAAAGUUCAACUCCAUUUAAAACGGAAAAAUAUCGCGCCAACGGAUUUUGUGACGUCACAAGGCUCAGUGACCGCCCUGAUCCUUUCCAUCUGCGGAUGCUAUUGUUUAACAAUAACAAUACGUGCUGAGUGAGGUUAUGUCGGAAGUGAAAACCUAUUUUUUCUCACUGUUUUCAAAAUGAAAUCGUUUCAUCGUGUGGUGAAUUGUUUGUUCCGGGGUGCUGCAAUUGCAGUGAAAGUGGUGGCAAACUUUUUUUUCAAGUGCCGAGGAACUCCAUGAGGAAUAAGUGGUGGUUUGCUGUUGGACUGCCUCCUGACACUCUGCAACCUCAGACUAAAGCCUACUGUUGUGAGGAUCAUUUUAAUCUUGAAGAGGAUGUUGAAGAGUGGAGGCGGUACCUAUUUUGCAUUGAAGGAGGAUUGCCUACGUUCCGUCUGCGGCUGCACCAAGAUGUAAUUCCACAUCGCAACUUACCCAUCUUCAGUCCCAAAAUGCCUACUCCGAAGAGAAGGAAAACAGUUCUCCUCGACAGGAGCAAUUCUAUUGUGCAGACUGAAACCUCGUCUCCUGUAUCAUUGGCUAGUAUCAAAAGUAAUCGGUUCCAAGAUUUGAGAAGAAUUUCGAAUAUUCAGGAAGACAAUGAUUUCGCUUUGGCCUACAAUCCGAACCUAGUUACAUAUAGCCCCCACCGAAGAAACCGGAGGGACAGCAACGCUGAAAAUGCGGAUCCUAAUGAAUAUACUGAAACCUCGUCUCCUGUCUCAUUGGCUAGUAUCAAAAGUAAUCGGUUCCAAGAUUUGAGAAGAAUUUCGAAUAUUCAGGAAGACAAUGAUUUCGCUUUGGCCUACAAUCCGAACCUAGUUACAUAUAGCCCCCACCGAAGAAACCGGAGGGACAGCAACGCUGAAAAUGUGGAUCCUAAUGAAUAUGUAUGAUUUUUUUUAAAAUUAUGAUUCAAUUUCUCAUUAUUAAAUGACCUCUUAAAGUAUUCACAUGACUCACAAUGGAAAGGGAUUGGCAUUAGAAAUUCAGAUCAUGAAUAAUUUUUUUGUCUCUAUGGUUCUGUUGCGUGCAAGGGAUACACUCAAGUGAAUGAACCUCUCAAAGGUAGAAUCAUACUAAAAUCAAGCUAUGUUUUUUAUGAUCUCUGCAAAUGUUUAGUGUUGGAUUUCAUACAUGACAUUGAUCAAUGCAAGUCAUUUAAGUGUGGAAAAACAUUGAUUAUCUGUGCCUAAACAGCCAACAGGUCUUGUAAGAUAAAACAAACUAACAAACCUUUUCCCCCAUUUUUUAGAUUGGAGCCGUGCCCUCUACCCUGAAAAUCAACAGAGUGACUAGAUACGACCUUCAUCCGCUUGUACCUUCGUCAAAUCCUCAAAAUGAAGAUUCUACCACUAGCAAAUUUAGUGCGAGAAUUGCAAUAAGAGGAGGUAUCCCUGGCAGUACUGAAAAUGUGGAUCCUCAGGAAUCGGUAUGAUUUUUUAUUGUAUACAUGAGUGGUAUGGAAUGUCUCCGUGAAUAAACAGGAAUUGUAAAUGCAAUAAAACUCUCAACGUUUAUGUUGUACAGUGGUAAAUUGAACCAUCACUUCUAGGAACUGAAACAACCUAGAAAUGCAAUGAUUUAUUAGGUAACUAAGAAUCUCUUGGGCAUUCAGGAAAUUAGUGUCAAAACUGGAAAUUUCUUACUUUUAUUUAUUAUUUCAGGCUUAAAAUUGUCGGUCAGCGCAGAGAUUUUAGCUGAAAGAAGAAGAAAAAAUGAAUAUUUCAGGUCUAAAUUCUAUAAAAAUAUGUAGUUUCUUCCCCAGUGAAUCGACCUCUCAUAUAACUUUUUCACAUAGUAAUAGGCUUCUUCCUCAGCACGUAUGAGAAUCUCUAUCUUAGCAACAUUGCAAUUAUUACGUUUACCUAUGCUCAAAUGAAAAGUAGCCUGCUUGAGGGUCCUACAACUAACAUUCAAAAAUGGUUUUACUAUUUUUCUCAGUUCUAAUUUCUUUCCUCUUUUCUUCAAUGUAGGUUCACUCA
rnacentral:lncRNA from 1 species